AGUGGGCCAAGACUAGAUGCUCAUCAACGUAUGGAUGGAUGGUGCGUCUACACAAUGGCGUUUUAUGGGACCCUAAAGCAAACUGAAAUCAUGACAUUUGCAGGUAAAUGAGUGGAACUGGAGAUUGCUGUGUUGAAGGCGGUAGACACAGAAGGACAAACACCUCAUGUUUUCUCUCACAUAUGAUGUAGAUUUUGAUUGUUACCCAACCAGGAAAGCGAUCAUGAGAGUGGGAAAAGGAGCUCUUGGGUUGGAGGUGAGAAGAGAAACUAAAAAGUCAAGAGAACACAUGUGGCAAAAAAUGAGAAGAGGGACUCCUGAGGGAGGAAGCCAGCGGAGCAGGGAUCAGAGUCCAGGCUUUCCAGACUGUACUGAGGUGGCCUAAGUGACCAAUGCAAACACUGUGAUGGCUAUUCAACACGUGAAGCCCAACGCUGUGACAUCAUUUGGACACCAUGCACACUACUAACUUGAGGGUAAUCAGAGCUGCGGACUGAUGGAGUGGAAAGAGUGCUGGGCAGAGGGCCAGAGUCUCAGAGUUCAAGCUUGUUGCUGUAACAUUCGCCAGCUCUGCAUCCUCAGCAAAGAAAUUGCCCGAGUCUUGGAAUCUCUGGAUGACGGACAUGGCCAAUGCUCCUGGCUUCACAUGAAGACGAAAUCAGACCUUAAAUUUUCAUUCGGCAUUCUGUCUGCAGGUUCCUGAUUAUGAAGCUGGAAAUACAUGUGGAGGAUCCUUGACAUGCCCGCUCUGAGCCAUGCCUCCACUCACGGGCCCUGUUUUGACUUCAGGUUUAAAGUCCAGCUGAGUGACUCUCUGUGUUUUCACCAUGGGGCUGCGUCUUUCUUCAAUAUCCAGCUGAGCAGAAAGAAGCAAUGUCCGUCUCUGCAAUCUGUUCUAGUGCAGACACCCGCGACAGGCGACGUCAUCAACUACUUUAGCGUUUCAAGACAAGAAGAGAGAAACAUCUGGGAAGGAAGAGCAUGACAACAUCAGCCUCUGAGGUUUGCAGCCUAGUGUGUCAGCCAUGAUGACUGCAAUCUCUGCUAAAGUUACCAGAAAUAGAUUUCAACUCACAGUGCAGUUUCUCCAUUAGAGCAUUCCGUUUCUAAUGCUCCAUUACCCAGCAAGUGGAAUGCCACCAGAGAAGGAGGUAGAGUCAGCACCAAGCAUCAAAGAAAGAAGAGCAUCUCCCGUGAGUACACACAAAGAAGGAUUGUAUAGUGCUCACUGCAAGCUAACAGGUCAGAUAAGUGAGUUGACUCAUUACUGAAGUGCGAGUUUGUAAACUUCGACUGUGUGGUGGAGCACAGCAGACAGCAGACCAAAGCAAAUUCACAUUCCAGAACUUCCUCAGCCACAGGCUGGAUCUGCUGCCCUGAAAUGGGUGCUUUCGUUUUCUAGGUUCUGCUUUUCUCUUCUGUAAAGUCGUGUGGCUGAUCUCAAAGGUUCUUUCCAGCUCAGGAUCUCUAUGUUUCUAAGCAAGGAACCACGUGCUUUACUGCAAACUCAAGAGCCAGUCAUAAGGGCAAGACACCUUUCACUCUUACUGUCUGCAAAGUCAUACGGAAACAAAAUGAGUAAAAGUGUUCCUUCUAGAAUAAAGCAGAAAGUGCCCUCAUAUGCCUCUGUGGGGAGCAUGACUGUAUUUUGACUCUUUGGCACAUGUAAUUUUUAAAAAAGUUGGGACUCACAUCAUAAAUAAUGUUGAAUGGAGCUUACCAACAUCCAUACAGAAGUACCUAGCAACUUUUCAUGACUGCACUGGGGGAUUCCUUACAUCAAAGACACAUCGUAUUUAUCUCAACAAAGAUACUGGAUGAGAACUUGAAAUGAAUAUGUUAAGCAAUGAGUAGUUUUCAGUCACAAUCCCUGUAAAAACAAAUUUGGGGAAAUUACCAAGCAACAUAUGUGAGGCCAGAGAGAUGCAUUGCUGACUUCUUUUUGUUUACCUGCUAGUAGAGUAUGUUUUAAAUAUUCAUUAAAUUAUUUAAUAUAGGACUUUGAUUAUUAACCUCCAACAAAUAGCUACAUCUUAAAAAUUAAAAUUACAGCUAAGCUCUGGCCUUCAUGUGGGUCUGGAACAACUGGAAUGGAGGCUAUGCAAAAUCUGUUGCCUGUAUGUGGAAUAUGUUGUACUACCUGGGCUACAUUGUGAGUCCUCUGUGGAAGAAGUGCCUAGCCUCAAAGACAUGAAGUGCCAUUGUUGGAGGUCAGGUAUACCCAGGGGGUCCUACCCACUCAGAAGAG
rnacentral:sRNA from 1 species